GACGAACGCUGGCGGCGUGCUUAACACAUGCAAGUCGAACGAAGUGGCGAACGGGUGAGUAACGCGUAAUCAACCUGCCCUUCGGAGGGGGACAACAGUUGGAAACGACUGCUAAUACCGCAUACUGAAGGAGGGGAGUGCGUCUGAUUAGCUAGUUGGAGGGGUAACGGCCCACCAAGGCGAUGAUCAGUAGCCGGUCUGAGAGGAUGAACGGCCACAUUGGGACUUGUACACGGGCCAGACUGCUACUGGAGGCAGCAGUGGGGACUCUUCCGAAAUGGACGAAAGUCUGACGAAGCAACGGCCGGGGAGUGAUGACGGCCUGCGGGUUGUAAAGCUCUGUUAAUCGGGACGCGGUACCGGUAUAGAAAGCCACGGCUAACUACGUGCCAGCAGCCGCGGUAAUUC
rnacentral:rRNA from 1 species